AGAACGAACGCUGGCGGCAGGCUUAACACAUGCAAGUCGAACGGUUGUAGCAAUACAGCAGUGGCAGACGGGUGAGUAACACGUGGGAACCUUCCUAGGGGUACGGAACAACUCAGGGAAACUUGAGCUAAUACCGUAUACGUCCGUAAGGAGAAAGAUUCAUCGCCCCUAGACGGGCCCGCGUAGGAUUAGGUAGUUGGUGAGGUAACGGCUCACCAAGCCUACGAUCCUUAGCUGAUCUGAGAGGAUGAUCAGCCACACUGGGACUGAGACACGGCCCAGACUCCUACGGAGCAGCAGUGGGAAUCUGGACAGUGGGCGCAAGCCUGAUCAGCAUG
rnacentral:rRNA from 1 species